UACGAAGGGGGCUAGCGUUGCUCGGAAUCACUGGGCGUAAAGCGCACGUAGGCGGAUUGUUAAGUCAGGGGUGAAAUCCUGGAGCUCAACUCCAGAACUGCCUUUGAUACUGAAGAUCUUGAGUUCGGGAGAGGUGAGUGGAACUGCGAGUGUAGAGGUGAAAUUCGUAGAUAUUCGCAAGAACACCAGUGGCGAAGGCGGCUCACUGGCCCGAUACUGACGCUGAGGCACG
rnacentral:rRNA from 1 species